UACGGGGGGGGCAAGCGUUGUUCGGAAUUACUGGGCGUAAAGGGCUCGUAGGCGGCCAACUAAGUCAGACGUGAAAUCCCCAGGCUCAACCUGGGAACUGCGUCUGAUACUGGAUGGCUUGAAUCCGGGAGAGGGAUGCAGAAUUCCAGGUGUAGCGGUGAAAUGCGCAGAUAUCAGGAGGAACACCGAUGGCGAAGGCAGCUCGCUGGGACGGUACUGACGCUGAGACGCGAAAGCGUGGGGAGCGAACAGG
rnacentral:rRNA from 1 species